AGAGUUUGAUCCUGGCUCAGAUUGAACGCUGGCGGCAGGCUUAACACAUGCAAGUCGAGCGGAAACGAUGAUAGCUUGCUAUCAGGCGUCGAGCGGCGGACGGGUGAGUAAUACUUAGGAAUCUACCUAGUAGUGGGGGAUAGCACGGGGAAACUCGUAUUAAUACCGCAUACGACCUACGGGAGAGAGGGGGCAGUUUACUGCUCUCGCUAUUAGAUGAGCCUAAGUCGGAUUAGCUAGAUGGUGGGGUAAAGGCCUACCAUGGCGACGAUCUGUAGCUGGUCUGAGAGGAUGAUCAGCCACACCGGGACUGAGACACGGCCCGGACUCCUACGGGAGGCAGCAGUGGGGAAUAUUGGACAAUGGGGGAAACCCUGAUCCAGCCAUGCCGCGUGUGUGAAGAAGGCCUUUUGGUUGUAAAGCACUUUAAGCAGUGAAGAAGACUCCAUGGUUAAUACCCAUGGACGAUGACAUUAGCUGCAGAAUAAGCACCGGCUAACUCUGUGCCAGCAGCCGCGGUAAUACAGAGGGUGCAAGCGUUAAUCGGAAUUACUGGGCGUAAAGGGAGCGUAGGUGGCUCUAUAAGUCAGAUGUGAAAUCCCCGGGCUUAACCUGGGAACUGCAUCUGAAACUGUAGAGCUAGAGUAUGUGAGAGGAAGGUAGAAUUCCAGGUGUAGCGGUGAAAUGCGUAGAGAUCUGGAGGAAUACCGAUGGCGAAGGCAGCCUUCUGGCAUAAUACUGACACUGAGGCUCGAAAGCGUGGGUAGCA
rnacentral:rRNA from 1 species